CUGUCUGCGGUGCAGGUUCCACUACCGGGUUGUGCCAGACUAGAUAUCCCAUUUGGCAACGCUGCAAAACUUAGAGCUGAACAUUAAUGAAUAGAAAGUGCAGGGACACGGAGCGGACGGGCGGGGGAGUGUAGUCACGGGGAACUCUGGAGGCGUUGGGGUUAGUGUUGUUGCAGCAGGGAGACAGACGGACAAACACACACAAACACACACAGAGGGAGGGGGCACAGGGUUUGCAAAGUGUGAACUCCAGCCACCCAAAUCCAAACUGGCAGCUGAAGCCGAGAGCUCCGGUUCUGAUCACGGGAAUGGAAGGCUCUUAUUUAACCCUAUCCUGGUCACCAAUGUGGCCUGAAGAGUUCCAGGUUGAAGUUUGGGGAAAAUCAGAGGAAGUAUAGAAACAUUAAAAAAUCGGAGCAGAUGUAUCAUAAUGGACAUAUGGAUCUGUGCACAUGAGUUACUGACUUUGGAUAAACGUCUGUAAAAUUCAACUUGUGCCAUUUCUUCAGUUUUGAAAGUGAUCUUUGCAAUUGCUUUGGACAGAACAAAAAUG